rnacentral:rRNA from 1 species
GAUCAAGCGUCAAAGGGCAUUUGGUGGAUGCCUUGGCACCAAGAGGCGAUGAAGGACGUAGCACGCUGCGAUAAGCCGCGGGGAGAUGCGAGCGAUCGUUGAUCCGCGGAUUUCCGAAUGGGGCAACCCCACCGCAAGGUGAUCGCCGACUGAAUCCAUAGGUCGGCGAGGCAAACCCGGGGAAUUGAAACAUCUCAUUACCCGGAGGAAAGGACAUCAACCGAGACUCCGCUAGUAGUGGCGAGCGAACGCGGACCAGGCCAGUGGCACAUGCGUAAGAACCGGAACGCUCUGGAAAGGGCGGCCAUAGCGGGUGAUAGCCCCGUACGGGUAGAAAGCGCGUGUGUCCUCGAGUAAGGCGGGACACGUGUAAUCCUGUCUGAACAUGGGGGGACCACCCUCCAAGCCUAAGUACUCCUUGGUGACCGAUAGUGCACUAGUACCGUGAGGGAAAGGUGAAAAGCACCCCGAUGAGGGGAGUGAAAAAGACCUGAAACCGAAUGCCUACAAGCAGUCGGAGCGGGACGUCUGGUUUCGGCCAGGCGGGUCCGUGACGGCGUACCUUUUGUAUAAUGGGUCAGCGAGUUCGUCUCAGUAGCAAGCUUAAGCCGAUAGGCGAAGGCGAAGCGAAAGCGAGUCUGAAUAGGGCGAUUCAGUUACUGGGAUGAGACCCGAAGCCGAGUGAUCUAGCCAUGGGCAGGCUGAAGGUGCGGUAACACGCACUGGAGGGCCGAACCCACUUCUGUUGCAAAAGCAGGGGAUGACCUGUGGCUAGGGGUGAAAGGCCAAUCAAACUCGGCAAUAGCUGGUUCUCCGCGAAAUCUAUUUAGGUAGAGCGUCGUGUUGACGCCGCCGGGGGUAGAGCACUGGAUGGGCUAGGGGGGCGCGAGCCUUACCAAACCUAACCAAACUCCGAAUACCGGCGAGCGAUUGCACGGCAGGCAGCCCAUGGGUGCUAAGGUCCGUGGGCGAGAGGGAAAGAGCCCAGACCGCCAGCUAAGGUCCCAAAGUCAUGGCUAAGUGGGAAAGGAUGUGAGACGGCAUCGACAACCAGGAGGUUGGCUUAGAAGCAGCCAUCCUUUAAAGAAAGCGUAACAGCUCACUGGUCAAGCUAUCUCGCGCCGAAAAUGUAUCGGGGCUCAAGCCAUGCACCGAAGCUGCGGGUUGGUAGGAUCUUCGGAUCUUGCCAGCGGUAGCGGAGCGUUCCGUAAGCCUGUGAAGGUGGCUCGUAAGGGCUGCUGGAGGUAUCGGAAGUGAGAAUGCUGACACGAGUAGCGACAAACAGUGCGAGAAACACUGUCGCCGUAAGUCCAAGGGUUCCUGCGCAAGGUUAAUCCGCGCAGGGUGAGCCGGCCCCUAAGGCGAGGCCGAAAGGCGUAGUCGAUGGGAACCAGGUUAAUAUUCCUGGGCCUGCUGGUGGUGACGGAGAUGGAAAGUCGUUCGCGGUUACUGGAUUCCGCGGGCGGCCGAAGUCUUCCAGGAAAUAGCCCCAGCGUAUAGUCCGUACCCUAAACCGACACAGGUGGACUGGUAGAGCAUACCAAGGCGCUUGAGAGAACGAUGUUGAAGGAACUAGGCAAAUUGCCCGCGUAACUUCGGGAUAAGCGGGACCCCAGAUUGCGCAAGCAGGCUGGGGUGGCACAGACCAGGGGGUGGCGACUGUUUACCAAAAACACAGACCUCUGCGAAUUCGUAAGAAGACGUAUAGGGGUUGACGCCUGCCCGGUGCUGGAAGGUUAAGAGGAGAGGUGCAAGCCUUGAAUCGAAGCCCCAGUAAACGGCGGCCGUAACUAUAACGGUCCUAAGGUAGCGAAAUUCCUUGUCGGGUAAGUUCCGACCUGCACGAAUGGCGU